rnacentral:lncRNA from 1 species
GCCCAGCAGGGCAGUGGCGGUGGGGUCUGUGGAAGUGCGUGGGUAACAUAUGGCCAUGCAUACUUUAUAUUUGAGAGUUCAAUGUCAGAAUGUGGGAGAAGAGUGGUGCACAGUGCCUGAUGAGGUUCCUUCCUCACCAGUAAUGUGUUCCUUUGAGUGGUGCUCUGGUGACUCUUUGUCACUCAAAGUGUCCCUAUGGCCAGGGUUAAUGACUUUGA